rnacentral:tRNA from 1 species
GGGUUUAUAGCUCAGUUGGUUAGAGCGCUACAUUGACAUUGUAGAGGUCAGAGGUUCGAAUCCUCUUAAACCCACGA